rnacentral:snRNA from 1 species
AACUUUGCGCAGAGGCGGUACCAUAGCCAAUGAGGGUUAUCCGAGGCAUGGUUAUUGCUAGUUGAGAACUUGCUCAGGUUGUGGACAAGUAUGUCACUUAAACAGAGAACCACACUGCAUAAGGAACAGAUCCGUUUCCCAAGAAUAGAGAGAUUCCUUUGAGU